rnacentral:rRNA from 1 species
UGCGAACUCCUACGGGAGGCAGCAGUGGGGAAUAUUGGACAAUGGGGGCAACCCUGAUCCUGCCAUGCCGCGUGAGUGAUGAAGGCCUUAGGGUUGUAAAGCUCUUUCACCGGUGAAGAUAAUGACGGUAACCGGAGAAGAAGCCCCGGCUAACUUCGUGCCAGCAGCCGCGGUAAUACGAAGGGGGCUAGCGUUGUUCGGAAUUACUGGGCGUAAAGCGCACGUAGGCGGACAUUUAAGUCAGGGGUGAAAUCCCGCAGCUCAACUGCGGAACUGCCUUUGAUACUGGGUGUCUUGAGUAUGGAAGAGGUAAGUGGAAUUCCGAGUGUAGAGGUGAAAUUCGUAGAUAUUCGGAGGAACACCAGUGGCGAAGGCGGCUUACUGGUCCAUUACUGACGCUGAGGUGCGAAAGCGUGGGGAGCAAACAGGAUUAGAAACCCUUGUAGUCCAGAUG